GCUGAGUUAAAUGAUUAUUAAUUCUUUUAAUAACAAUACAUUUUGUAUUCUAUUAAAAUAGUAUAUCUGAUGAGUUAAUAUUUUUAAUUCUAAGUUGCUUAGUGAGUAGUUUCAAGUCAUGCACUAGUGAUUAUCUUCAUGGACCAAUGAGUUAGGUUAAUGUUGUAACAGUUUAGGUUUUACAAGUUUGGGGUAUCAUAUGACAACUCUCUUCUUUAUAAUGAUUGGUUCAUUAAGUCACAUGUUGUUUUUUUUGGAGGGAAAUUCUAUUGUCUUGGUUAGAAUUUGCUUAUAUCUUGAACUGAGGGGUGCUGAUAUAGUUUGUACUCAUAUUUAAUGGACAUCUUUGAUUUUAUAUAAAAAAAAAAUAUUGAACCGGACUAAGAUUGUACAUGAUGUAGUACCACAAGGGUUCCAGAGUUUUGUUUAUACAGGACAUUUGUACCUCAUACAAGUAUGUUGAGAGAAGUUCAGAACAAGCUAUUAUGUUUGAAGAGGAGUUGUCAGCACGUCAUCAUUGAAUAAAGUCAGUUGUAUUAGAAGUGAAGCCUAAUCAGAAAUGAGACAAUUAUCAAAUAAUUCAAAGACUACAUGGAUGUUAUCUGGACUAACAUUUGUAUGACCUAUAUGUGGUAUUUUUCAUAUGAAGACUUACAAGGCAAAUAAUUGGCUGUGGCAACAUGUGUAUGCAUUUAACAUGUUUAAAGACUUGAAGAACUUGUACUGCCUUCUUCAGAUUUCAGUAGAAUUUGUUUAAGACAGUAAAUUCUGAGUAUGAAUUGAAGAAUUUUUGCUCAUUUAAAUGAAUUAUGAAAAUGUUUUACAUCUUAAAUAUAUACAAAAACAACA